CAGAAGACAAUUCUACACAGGCAAUAAAAUGCAGUUCAAAGGCGUCUUGAGGUCAGGGUGUCAGCAUUCGUCAUGCUAAAGCCCAUAAGUGCAUCCCACCAGACAAGCUCACAGCUGCCUACUCUCCUGAAUGCAAGCCAUGCAGCUCCUCCCCAAAUGUGUUGAUGGCUUGGGAAAGGAAG
rnacentral:lncRNA from 11 species